GUCCUCGUAGCUCAGUGGAUAGAGCAGCGGUUUCCUAAACCGCGUGUCGGUGGUUCGAUUCCACCCGGGGGCA
rnacentral:tRNA from 2 species